rnacentral:rRNA from 1 species
GACGGACGCUGGCGGCGUGCUUAACACAUGCAAGUCGAGCGGUAAGGCCCUUUCGGGGGUACACGAGCGGCGAACGGGUGAGUAACACGUGGGUGACCUGCCCUCAGCUCUGGGAUAAGCCUGGGAAACCGGGUCUAAUACCGGAUAUGACUCCAUGACGCAUGUUGUGGGGUGGAAAGCCUUGUGCGGCUGAGGAUGGGCCCGCGGCCUAUCAGCUUGUUGGUGGGGUGAUGGCCACCAAGGCGACGACGGGUAGCCGC